AGGUAAAAAGCGAAGAAUUGCACCCAGUUUCGACCUGGUACUUGGUAUAAACUAUACCUUUACCUG
rnacentral:tRNA from 1 species